UUAAUUAAUCUUAGUUCCCCUCUUAAUAUAAUUAAUUUUUAUUUAAAUUUCCCUCCGAAAAAAUAAAAAAUUUGAUUUCCCUCUACUCAAACUACAAAUUUUCCAAAUUUGACCUUUCUGCGAAAUACAUACAAAUAACCAGCUCUAGGAAGGGCGCCUUUCUUUUUUACUCUACAAUUUAGAUCUGAUCUCUUUCAACUUCUCGACAGUUUCAAAUCAACGUUAGGUGCUCCCAACUCUACACAACGCGCCAUUCGUCUCCUUCCCAAAGUCGAUAAUCAUCUCCAUCCAAGGUAGUCCACUACAAGGCAUAAUUUAUCGCACAAGGCGUCGUUCAUCUCUUUCCAAAAUACGUACACGGGAGCCUUAUUUUUCAUUUCCUUUAAUCAACAAACCCUUCUUCUCUAUCCUACCCAUUUCUCCUCCAUCUGUAAUAUCCCGUCUGCCCCCUCCAAUCUGCAACGCCGCCACCACCAGCUUCCCCUCAACCUCUGGCAGCUUCGACAGCCCUGCCUCCGCGUCCGCAGACUUCUGCAGUUCGAUUUUUCAGGUAUCCUACCGGGUUCCAGGUUGGGCUUGGGGAAAAGUUCAAUUCUGAUGAGAUACCCGUUGGGUAUCGGGUCGGGUAUGAGAAUAAUUUUUGAUACCGGGUUCGAGGAUGGGAUACCUAACCUCAUUGCCAUUCCUAGCUCUAUUCCCUAAGACCUGUAAUAUAAACAAAAUGAAUCAGUUUACUCAUAUUUACCAUUUUCAUCUAUACUAAGCAUGUUGGUCAAAAUUACCAUAACUAAAUGCAUCUUACACUCACAAUAAUUGUUUUUUUAAGUCAAUGUAACAUAUUUCGGCACACAUAAUAAAAUACACAUGAUCAUAAACCACUAAAAGUUACUUGUUUUCUUGUUUUUAGUAUGUCACUAGUAGACACCACCAUAUGAACACACAAAUAUUUAAUGUGACCAUAUGUAUCAACUAUUAGCUACAUUACAUUUCAUGUGUCAAAAAAGACGCCACGAUACAGAAACAUAUACAAUUGACUCAUAUCACAAUAUAUUUACCUCUUGUCUCAUAAAAAAAAGUAUCAUAAUGUUAAUCAAUAAUCAUGGCUGAUGGUGACAUGUGGCCACAGUGUUCGAGUGUGGCUAAUAAUUGUCAUAUUUGGUAUAGUUAAGUGUGGUUAAAGUUUUGAUUAUCUAUACAAUGACCACACAAGCUAAUUUAAAUGUAUCCAAAAGUAGGCUGUAAAUUUUUUUUAGAUAGGCCAUUUUUUGAAAAGUGUGACCGUAUGUCAUUUUUGUACUAGUGCAAUAAUAAAAGGUUCCAACUUUUCAUAUAGUAUAUACAAGUUUUCAGCAUUACAGACAUCAAAUAAAGUCAGUGUAAUGGUAAAGGUGUUGCCCUUAACACCCAAAGGUCGCACAUACGAAUAAUGUAAUCCCCAAGAGUGUGUUUUUCAAACAAGCUUAAAAAGUUGGCGUGUCAGCGACAUAGUCAAACUAGACGUGGUUUGCCAUGUAUGUAAGCAACUUGUUUUUUUUUUUUUAACGACGAUAUUAGUAUUUGUCUGGGAUUAAACUCAAGACCUCCUGGUUAGAAACCCUAGUUAGACAUCUUGACUGUAAGCAACUUGUAACCGACAAAACCUGCUGAAAAGCUAUAAACGAAAAAAAUUAAACAAAACUAGCUAUAAACGAAAAAAUUAAACAAAACUUCUGUAAGCAACUUGUGACCGAGAAAACCUUCUAAAAAGCUAUAAACGAAAAAACUAAACAAAACGAUAUUUAUAACCUAAAAUAGGUCAAAGGGUAAAACCAAAGAAUUUCUCAAAAUAACUUAAUGACUUUUAUUUCAUUAGCCCUAUUAGCUAAAAGCUUGUUUUUUAAACAAGCUUAAAAAGCUACCAUGUCGGCGCCAUAUCCGGCUCAACGCCAUGCCUGUUGAUUGAGCCUAGUUCGCGUCGACGUUGUUUGCCGC